rnacentral:rRNA from 1 species
CACGUAGGGCGCAAGCGUUUGUCCGGAAUUAUUGGGCGUAAAGAGCUCGUAGGCGGUCUGUUGCGUCCGCUGUGAAAACUCGGGGCUUAACCCCGAGCCUGCAGUGGAUACGGGCAGACUAGAGGUAGGUAGGGGAGAAUGGAAUUCCCGGUGUAGCGGUGAAAUGCGCAGAUAUCGGGAGGAACACCGGUGGCGAAGGCGGGUCUCUGGGCAAUAACUGACGCUGAGGAGCGAAAGCGUGGGGAGCGAACAGG